GCUGCGCCUCCGAUCGCGGCCGCCCCGAUCCAGUCGCGGGGCACGCCUCCACCACCGGCCUCCUACGACGCCAAUGGGCAGGCGGCCUACGGUGGUCUUCUGGCCCCGGCCCCGUACCACGAUGCGGCCAGGCCCUAUGGCGUUCCCAUCCAGGCGCCGUACGGCGGCCCGUACCCGGCGCCCUACCUCGCGCCGUCGGCUGCGUCGUAUGCGCUGUAUUUUGCUACAGCCCCGACGUCCUACGCUGCUGCCCAGCCGUACACCGCUCCUCCUGCGCUCCCGUAUGGUGCGCACUCCUCGGCGGCUUACGGCCAUCAUCAACAACCAUCGGCCGAGGCACUAGUCCCGUAUAGGGCUGUUCUGCCGCCUGGUCCAUCGCCUGAUCUGUCGCUCUCCGCGCCGAUGGCCGAACCAGGGCCGUUUCACUUCGCCCAUCUGGUGACGGUGAAGCUUUCUGCUGAUAACUAUCUCCUGUGGCGCGCUCAAGUGUUGCCGCUGAUGCGGAGCCACUACCUUGAAGGAUAUGUUGAUGGCUCCCUGCCGUGCCCUCCGGCUAUGGUUCCGGUGCCCUCGUCUCAUGGUGGCUCUGUCAUGGUCCCCAACCCUGCUCAUCGUCGGUGGACUGCUCAAGAUCAAGCCAUCCUGGGUGCUAUUCGGUCGUCGCUCACUCCACCCGUGGCUGGCAUGGUUGUCUUUGCCGCCACGUCGACGGAUGCAUGGACCAUGCUUGACUCCAGCUUCUCCUCACAGUCGCUCGCACGUUCGUCUGCUAUACGCAAUCAGCUGGGUGAGGUCAAGAAGAAUGAUCUCUCUGUCACUGCUUUCUUCAACAAAGUCAAAAGCUUGGCCGAUACGCUGUCCUCCAUUGGGAAGCCGCUCCGUGAUGAGGAGUUUACUUCAUUCAUUCUUAAUGGGCUGGACGAGGAUUAUGACUCUCUGGUUGAAAAUGUCAACGGGCGUGACACGCCGAUGCCACCCCGUGACCUCUACGCCUGCCUCCUUAACACGGAACAGCGGCUUGCUUCUCGUCGCUCUGUCGGAGUCUACACGGAGGGCCCUUCUGUGAAUGCUGCUCUUCGCGGAGGUGCCCGUGGUGCCAAGCAGAAGCCACCGCCGCCCUCGAGCAACCAGCCUUGUCCGCCCGCUCCCGCUCCUCCAACGGCCGGUCGCAAGCGACUUCACUGCGAGGCGUGUGGUGGUGGUGUCAAGUGUCAGCUUUGCGGUAUUGAGGGGCACUUGGCGUCUCGGUGCCAUCGUCGGUUUAAACGUGAUUUCCUUGGCAUCGAGAACAAUGGGAAGGGCAACGAGAAGCAAGUUGCUCUUGCCACACAGGAGCCCGGGUUCACUCCUUCAUACUCUGUGGACCCUGCCUGGUACAUGGACACAGGCGCCACGGACCACUUGACGAGCCAGCUUGACAAGUUGGCCACUCGACAGCCCUACACCGGCCAUGAUCAGGUUCGCACUGCCAAUGGAUCAGGUAUGCCCAUCUCACAUAUUGGUCAGGCAUCUCUUCUUUCUCGUACCACUAAAACCUUGCGUCUCCUUGAUGUCCUUCGUGUUCCUUCAGUCACACAUAGUUUACUCUUGGUUCCUAAAUUAACUCUUGACAACAAUGUGUUUGUUGAGUUUCAUCCUUUUCAUUUUUUUGUUAAGGAUCGGGACACGAGGGACGUUCUUCUUAGUGGUCGAGCUCGCGACGGCUUAUAUGCGCUUGAUGUGCCACAAGUGCCUGAUGUGCCACGAGUAUCUCAGGUGUUCAGUGGUGUGCGGGUGUCGUCGUCGCAGUGGCAUUCCCGCCUUGGCCACCCUGCCACUCCCAUUGUGCGCCAUGUGCUUCAUCGUCAUCGUCUUCCUGUUGAGUCCAGUAAUAAGGAGUUUCUAGUUUGUGAUGCCUGUCAACAAGGCAAGAGUCAUCAGUUGCCCUUUUCUGUAUCAAGUCAUGUUGUCAAGGCUCUUCUUGAACUUGUGUUUUCCGAUGUGUGGGGCUAUGCCCAAACCUCUGUUAGUGGGCACAACUAUUAUGUCAGUUUCAUAGAUGCUUUCAGUCGCUUUACUUGGCUUUAUCUUAUUAAGCGCAAAUCUGAUGUGUUUCAUGUUUUCAUGCAAUUCCAAGCACAUGUUGAAUGGUUAUUCAAGCACAAAAUUAUUCAUGUUCAGUCUGAUUGGGGAGGUGAAUACCGUAAUCUUAGCACCUUCUUUCAGAAGCUUGGUAUCUCACAUCAUGUGUCUUGUCCUCAUACACAUCAGCAGAAUGGUGCAGCUGUGCGUAAGCACCGUCAUAUAGUUGAAACUGGGCUAACACUUCUUGCACAUGCCUUUGUCCCGUUUCGGUUCUGGAGCGAUGCCUUUGUUACUGCUUGUUUUUUGAUAAACAGGAUUCCCACACGACUUCUUCACAUGAAGUCCCCUCUAGAAGUGUUGCUUCAGGAAACUCCAGAUUACUCCUUUCUCAAAGUGUUCGGUUGUGCGUGUUGGCCACAUCUUCGCCCGUACAAUAAGCAUAAACUUGAGUAUCAGUCGAAAAAAUGCGUGUUCCUCGGAUACAGUCCUCUCCACAAAGGUUACAAAUGUCUCCAUGUUCCAUCAAACCGUGUUUACAUUUCCCGUGAUGUUGUGUUUGAUGAGACUGUCUUCCCUUUUUCCACGCUCACGUCGCCCACUGACACUCCUGUCGCCGAGUUGCACUCGUUUCCAGUAUUGCCUGACCAGUUUGUAGAUGCUGCAUACUCUCCUUUGUUGUUGCCUAACCACGGUGUAGGUGCUGGACGAGGUGCCCGACUGGAGCUGCUUGAUGAUGAUGGUGCGCCACCUACGCCAGCUGUUGCUACGCCGGCU
rnacentral:rRNA from 1 species